UAAGACAUCUGGUUUAGAAGCUCAGCAAUAAAACUGUAAUGAUCCUGCCAAAUGGGUCGAACAGUAUAAUUAUCGACGCUCCGAAGCGGCAGGUGGCGCAAUGCACUUAAUGCGCUGCUCAACAAAGAAGACACGUUGAACAAUGCAACCGUAUUGAAUGCAACGCGGGAUUUGCAAAGCCAAACCAACCGUCCUCAGGCACCUAAAGUCCAAGGUUGCUGGCUCCAUUAUGAUCUGGCAGUGAUAUAAGAUAGAUGGCUUGCUGCUGUUGACUCCCAAGCGCUUCAUACAAGUGAAAGAGAACUCAGACUAGCCAAUGCACAAUGGCAGAUGCGUCCCCACAACCCAUGGUCCUUCGGGUUGUCCAGCCAGAUCAAGCAAGAAAGAUUAAACUGAGUACACGACCAGCCUCUGUUGAUGCAUUGAUAAGGAUUAUAAAAGAACAGUUGCAAAUAGACUUAGAUUUUAGUUUACAAUAUGAAGAUCUAGACUUUGAUGGAAAACUUACAUCCCUCUCCGAUAUCGAAGAGUUGCCACUAAAGGCUGUUGUGCAUAUCUCUGUUGAUGAAGAUACCAGCUCUCUUGCAUCCACUGAAAUACUUUCAAGUCUGUCAUCUCCAGAACGUCUUAGCAGAUGGCCUUCAGGUCCUUUUCCAAUUCCCCUAUUUUCAUUUGACGUCGAGCUUAAACUU